rnacentral:rRNA from 1 species
AUUGAACGCUAGCGGGAUGCCUUACACAUGCAAGUCGAACGAAGUGGCGAACGGGUGAGUCAUGUAUCGGAACGUGCCCAGUAGCGGGGGAUAACUACGCGAAAGCGUAGCUAAUACCGCAUACUAUUGGAGCGGCCGAUAUCGGAUUAGCUAGUUGGGGGGGUAACGGCUAACCAAGGCGACGAUCCGUAGCUGGUUUGAGAGGACGACCAGACCCCAUGGGACUGGGAAACGGCCCAGCCUCCGACGGGAGGCAGCAGUGGGGAAUUUUGGACAAUGGGGGAAACACUGAUCCAGCCAUCCCGCGUGUGCGAUGAAGGCCUUCGGGUUGUAAAGCACUUUUGGCAGGAAAGCGGUACCUGCAGAAUAUGCACCGGCUAACUACGUGCCAGCAGCCGCGGUAAUUC